CUGGCCGACCUCCCGAAGGGAGGGAUAAGGGUCUGGGAUUGGUGGACGUGGUCACGGACAUUGAGAAGUUUAGGAACACAGAGGAGGCUGUGGAGCGGAGAGAGGAACCAUCAGAACUGUGUAAGCGGGAGACAGAAGCAUAGACUGAAGACCGGCUGAGACAUCCAGCCUUGUGGACUGAGCAACUGCUGGAUUCUUGGACCACUCACUGUUGGACUAGCUGAACUAUAGCAUCUGCUGGUCAGAGCCGUGGCAGAUUUUUCUGGUACUUUGGGCUUCCUAAGCACUUCCUCUAACGUUCUUCUCACCACCUGUGCGUCUUGUCCACACUGUGUCUGACCUCCUGUCACCCCCUGGUGACCCUAUCUCACUUCCUGUUCUCCGGAUUCUCUCCACGUGGCAACAAGUCUCUCCUUGGUCCUUCCAUGGGGAAGUCAAGCCUCACAGAGAAGAUUCAUUACCCACAAGUGCCUGCAUAGUUCCUGGAAUCGCUCUGAUGGGGCCAGGACCAAAUUUGUUGGCUCCCGAAUGAGCCCUGAGCUCAGGCACCGGCAGAGGAGCCUGGGGGAAGAGCGGUGGAUUUAGGGUUGGGCGGAGAGACACAGAGUCAUGGGCUUUUACUGGAAUAUGAGUGGGCGUGUGUGUUUUCAUAUCUCUGCAAUCAUCCAUACCUGCACAGUGCCUGGCACAUCUCGGCCCCCGGGGGAAAUCCAUGUUCCCUGACAGUAUGGCUCCCCUGAGUCUUCAUGCAGAGACAGGAGCUGUGUUCCGGGAUAAGGUCAGCGUGGGCACAAGGAGCUAUCAAUGCCUGUGCCUGAGUCAAGAUGCUCUGAAUGCCUUCAAAGCACAGGUCUGGUUUAGAUAGUUAAUAAGUAAUCUUUCUUGGGAAAUGUGAGGUAGAAGGGGGGGAAAAGCCCAGCGUGGUGAGGUUGCGGUGUCUAAGGGCUGCUUCAGGUUACCGUAGCCUGAGUUCGCCGACAGCGGAACCUGGGCGCCCAGUCGCUUCACUUCUCCCUUCCUCCCUUCUUUGUUUUGUCAACUUUACACUUUAUCUUAAAAUUUUAAUUAUGAGUAAUAGGUUUUCUUCCUCCUCUUCCCCCCCCCCAAUCAGUUUCUCUACCGAUGUAGUAAGCUAGAUCAAGCCAAAUUUAAAAAGUGUAAUACCAGGUUUAUUUGAGCAAGGCAACUCCCCGGUGGGUUCUCUAGUUCCCGGAGAUCAAGGCUGGAGAAGCUGCACCCCCAAACAAAAGGAGGGAGACUUUAUAGCUUGGAGGCCAGAGGUGAUGAUGUAUCCGCCACAAGCUGGGUUUGGUGCCAACUAUGGUCAAAAGCUGAGCACUUUAGGUGGGGACUUGGGUGGCUGGCAACUUCAGGGGAGGAAGCUGUAGUAGCCGCCAAGGAGGUGGAACUGGGCUUUUUGGUGUCUAUCCUUUGUUUGGAGACACUCUUCAGUGGGCAGCGUUUGGAGAGAGAUAGGAACAAGGCUUUCUGGAUCAUGCAG